rnacentral:lncRNA from 1 species
GCACAGACUCGGAGCUUCUGAUGACUUUAGGAGCAAAUGCCAGAGGGUUACGAGACACGAUCUGCUUGCGAGUUUGAAGAACAGUAUCUUCGUGAAUAGCUUGGUUGAAGCAGUCCUGACAGGAGCAAGGUUCAAUGCAGUAGACACCAGCAGCAAAACACUCACAAUAACUGGUAAAAAAGAGAGAAAAGAGAGCAAAGUAUAAAAAGGUUAAUUUUAAAGCCAAACAAGGUCAUUUUCUUCCCAUUUUUUCUAUUGUAAAGCCUUCAUGUUAUGAAAGGUCUGGAGUGCAAGAGAAGGAAAAUAUGCUCAAAACCCAAAGGAAAGACAGUACUUUAUAGUACAUAAACAGGACAAUAAAACAGAUAAAAAACAUCAAUUUACAUGAUGGAAGUCGUUUAGAAUUUAGAGAACAACCAACUUUGCUUACAUCAUUGUCACAAUUUUAGUCAAAUGAGUUUGGUUGAAAGAUGUUUUUUGGGUAAUAUUAUAUGAUAAUUUCAAGAUUAAAAUUACAUUACUGUAUUGAAAUUUAAUAAACCUAAGACAUUAGAACUUACAAAAAAUAUAAACUUAAGAACAUUCAUUACAACUUACAGCUUCAAACACUUCGAUUUCUUGCAAUUACAAUGCUUGCAGCCCUCGGUUUCUCCAGCUGGGUCUGACUUAUGUCUGCAAAUUAAUUCGGUGUCAGCUAACGAGGAGAAGAAAAACAUAAAAUGACAGGUUGGAGAUUAUCAGACAUAAGCACGGUAAGCAGAAACUGCACUUUCCUUUUCUUUUUGGGGCUAAUCGAAAUGUGAUUUUCACGAGCCGUGUAAGCUGACGCCUGGGAACAAUCUUCACCAGGCUGAACAUCAUUGUUUGACGAAUCAAAUUCUCUUUCAGAUGAUACAGCACCCAAGGACCCUGCAAGAAGAAAACGAUUAAAAUACCAUAAAUGUGGUCAUAUUUCAACUGUGGAGAACAAAAUUAACUUUUAUUUUCUGACCCCAAAGUCAGGCACAGACUCGGAGCUUCUGAUGACUUUAGGAGCAAAUGCCAGAGGGUUACGAGACACGAUCUGCUUGCGAGUUUGAAGAACAGUAUCUUCGUGAAUAGCUUGGUUGAAGCAGUCCUGACAGGAGCAAGGUUCAAUGCAGUAGACACCAGCAGCAAAACACUCACAAUAACUGGUAAAAAAGAGAGAAAAGAGAGCAAAGUAUAAAAAGGUUAAUU